UACGUAGGGGGCUAGCGUUGUCCGGAAUCAUUGGGCGUAAAGCGCGUGUAGGCGGCCAGGUAGGUCUGCUGUGAAAACUCGAGGCUCAACCUCGAGACGUCGGCGGAAACCAUCUGGCUAGAGUCCGGAAGAGGAGAGUGGAAUUCCUGGUGUAGCGGUGAAAUGCGUAGAUAUCGAGAGGAACACCUGCGGCGAAGGCGGGUUGCUGGGCUGACACUGACGCUGAUGCGCGAAAGCUAGGGGAGCGAACGGG
rnacentral:rRNA from 1 species